rnacentral:tRNA from 1 species
GGGAAGAUGAUGGAGGUGCGAGAGUUAUUGUUAAUAUUAUUUCAUUUAGCUCCUUUAUUGCUUUGGAUUUUUAAGAUGGAGUUUUUUUUGGAAUGGUUUUACUUGAUUAGUUUAUUAAAAUAUUAAAUUGUGGAUUUAAAGAAGUGUUAACAUUAAGUA